rnacentral:lncRNA from 1 species
AAAGAAGCAAAGAAACGCUAGGCAGAAGUCCCUGUAAGCCCCGUAUGGCAAGUUCCAAGUGAGGGGGUACUUACCCCUCUACAAAAGCACCAGGAACAAAGUCUCCAGGAGUCCUCCAUCUCUUUGGACCCUUCCCUAUUCGUUGAGUUUACCACCCCGGAGGGCAGCUUGAACAACAGCACAGAAGUGCUCAUCUCCCAGAUGCAACGUCUUUGGCUCCCUGACCAGAAGCCAGACAAGACAGACAUUGAUCAUGUAUUUGAACUUUCUCAUAGUAUGAAUUUCAGGAACACGAAUGUGCAAAAGAAUGUAAGAUAAAGAUAUGCAGAAUUUUUUUCAAAGCAUUCCUAUGAAACUGAAGUAAAUAAUCCAAAUAAAGUAAAUCUUCUCAAGG